rnacentral:rRNA from 1 species
AGAGUUUGAUCAUGGCUCAGAUUGAACGCUGGCGGCAUGCCUUACACAUGCAAGUCGAACGGCAGCACGGGGGCAACCCUGGUGGCGAGUGGCGAACGGGUGAGUAAUACAUCGGAACGUGUCCUGGAGUGGGGGAUAGCCCGGCGAAAGCCGGAUUAAUACCGCAUACGAUCUCUGGAUGAAAGCGGGGGACCGAAAGGCCUCGCGCUCAAGGGGCGGCCGAUGGCAGAUUAGCUAGUUGGUGGGGUAAAGGCCUACCAAGGCGACGAUCUGUAGCUGGUCUGAGAGGACGACCAGCCACACUGGGACUGAGACACGGCCCAGACUCCUACGGGAGGCAGCAGUGGGGAAUUUUGGACAAUGGGGGCAACCCUGAUCCAGCAAUGCCGCGUGUGUGAAGAAGGCCUUCGGGUUGUAAAGCACUUUUGUCCGGAAAGAAAACCGCUUCUCUAAUACAGAGGUGGGAUGACGGUACCGGAAGAAUAAGCACCGGCUAACUACGUGCCAGCAGCCGCGGUAAUACGUAGGGUGCGAGCGUUAAUCGGAAUUACUGGGCGUAAAGCGUGCGCAGGCGGUUCGCUAAGACCGAUGUGAAAUCCCCGGGCUUAACCUGGGAACUGCAUUGGUGACUGGCGGCUAGAGUAUGGCAGAGGGGGGUAGAAUUCCACGUAGCAGUGAAAUGCGUAGAGAUGUGGAGGAAUACCGAUGGCGAAGGCAGCCCCCUGGGCCAAUACUGACGCUCAUGCACGAAAGCGUGGGGAGCAAACAGGAUUAGAUACCCUAGUAGUCC